rnacentral:rRNA from 1 species
AACGUAGGGGGCCAGCGUUGCUCGGAAUUACUGGGCGUAAAGGGUCCGUAGGCGGUGUGGCAAGUCGGAAGUGAAAUCUCUGGGCUUAACCCAGAGGCUGCUCCCGAAACUGCCGUGCUAGAGUGCGAGAGAGGCGAGUGGAAUUGCGGGUGUAGCGGUGAAAUGCGUAGAUAUCCGCAGGAACAUCCGAGGCGAAAGCGGCUCGCUGGAUCGCAACUGACGCUGAGGAGCGAAAGCGUGGGGAGCGAACAGG